rnacentral:rRNA from 1 species
CGGACGGGUGAGUAACGCGUGGACAACCUACCCCGCACUGGGGGACAACAGCCGGAAACGGCUGCUAAUACCGCAUAUGCGCACAGCCCCACAUGGGGCGGUGCGGAAAGCCUUGUGCGGUGCGGGAUGGGUCCGCGUCUGAUUAGCUGGUUGGCGGGGUAACGGCCCACCAAGGCGACGAUCAGUAGCCGGCCUGAGAGGGUGGACGGCCACAUUGGGACUGAGACACGGCCCAGACUCCUACGGGAGGCAGCAG